rnacentral:tRNA from 1 species
CGUAGCUCAAUUGGAUAGAGCGCUGGCCUCCGGAGCCAGAGGUUAGAGGUUCGAAUCCUCUC